GACGAACGCUGGCGGCGUGCUUAACACAUGCAAGUCGAACGGAAAGGCCCUGCUUUUGUGGGGUGCUCGAGUGGCGAACGGGUGAGUAACACGUGAGUAACCUGCCCUUGACUUUGGGAUAACUUCAGGAAACUGGGGCUAAUACCGGAUAGGAGCUCCUGCUGCAUGGUGGGGGUUGGAAAGUUUCGGCGGUUGGGGAUGGACUCGCGGCUUAUCAGCUUGUUGGUGGGGUAGUGGCUUACCAAGGCUUUGACGGGUAGCCGGCCUGGGAGGGUGACCGGGCUAAGUGGAAGUUGGAAUGCGACACGGCGUCGACUGGGAGGGGAGGGGGGAGAGUGGUACACUGGGGGGUGGGCCGAAUCGCGAGCCCGCCGUGCGGGGUGAGCGGUGUUGGGGUUAGGGUACCAUUGCCCCUUUAACCGGGGUGAGAAUGACGGUAAGGGGAAAAAAAGCUCCGGCUAACUACGUG
rnacentral:rRNA from 1 species